CACACACACACACACACACACACACGAACUGCAACUGUUAUUUGAGCAACACUCCACUCUUUUAUGAGCAGAGUUAACACGUUGAAAAAAACUAUAACUGAUUCAAUGUUAUACCCACAACUACACAGUUUCUCAAUCUUUUCUUGGCUGCCACCCUAUUUUUACACCCUAACAUCCUCAUGACUCCUGCAAUAGGAUGACUCCUCCUGGAUUUGGUGACCCCCUUCCUCUAGUGCAACAAUCAGGUAAAUAUUUCCCCCGAUCAACACUUUGGUGGUCAAUAGUUGACUUGAAAUGUUCAUGUUCCCCAGUGAAUAGAUUUUGGUCAAAACUUUGCAGACACGGUAUAUCUCAUUAUAUUAUGGUCAGAUGAUAACUUCUUAUUUUACAUGUUGAUUAUUAAACUGUUAAUGACUUUCUAAUGAUUCCUUCAAAGCGUCCUGUAAAGAACUAUGUAAUUUACUUAUUAUAGAUAAAACAGAGACUGUUUUAAAUUGCUACACUUCUAAUUAACUGCUAAAGUGGAGUGACCUAAAGUCUUUUAGUCAGUUCACAGAAGGUCAGCUGAACAUACAAAAGUAUGCAAUUUGUGUACAGGCACGCAUACAACUCAACAUGUACAUAGAAGAAUUUAGUUUCCAAUAAUAAAUGAAUAAGGAAACAUUUGCUAGGGUUUAAAUGAAGCCGUACAUGCUCCCAUUGUGAUCACUUUUUAUUUUAGUAAUGCUAUGUCCUUUCCUGUAGUGCCACCUUCAGGAAAAAAUAACAUUUUUGGCCCAUGUUGCUUGCAAGGCGCUAAAAAUAGGUUAACUAUCAGUAUGUUUUACAUUCUGAGCAACAUCUUCAUCUGUGGGGUGCAAUAACAGCCUUUGCCUUGAUUUCAUGGGCAUGUUGACAAAUUAGUAAUUUAAGAAAACAGUUUAUGCACAAGCUUAAAGAGAUAAGAACACAAUGUUAAUGUAUACUUUACAAAACAUUCACAAAGAAGCCAUGAAUAUCUUAACAAAAAAUGGAAAUGAGAAGCAUUAUGUAGGCAUUAUGUUGCAUAAUCAUAGAGACACAACAUUCUCCACUUGGCUAAUUUUCAUCAUCUAAUAUUCAACCAAUCAAUAUGCUCUGUGUUGGUUUGCUACAGCACAUUUAUGUCAGCAGAGCUCUCCAGAGAAUACAGGGGCAUCCAUAAACAAAUCUUGGAAAACAAAGGAGUGGAACAUGUCUGUACUUUUUAAUUUAAGGGAAAACAACGGUCAGCUAAACUCUUUCACUUUCUCAAGUUGUUUCCUGGCCAAAACCAGAGAGCAGAAGAAGACAUGGAGACUGAUACUUUAAAGACAGUGCAUUAGGAUGAUGCUUCCAGCAGUGAAACAAGGAUCUGUUAUUUUGGUCCACAAGAUCACUCCGGCCAAGUGUUGUCAUCUAUCCUGCAUACUCAGUAACAUUACAGUUGCGGUCUUUUACAACAUUUUGUUCACGUGUAGAAUAAUUUAAAUGAUCUGUCCUUGACUGUAGAAUCAAUGUAAAUUAAUGUCCCUCAGAGUGCAGGAACGAGUCAUUGACAUGAUGAGAAGAAAAACUACAAAUAAAUGUAUAUGAUCAUUACCUUUUAGUGGCUACUUAUGUGUAGCCAUUUGUGUAGAUUUACUAUGAUCAGGUGAUACUGUAAAGCUGAUUCUCUGUUUUGUCAGAGGAUUAAGACAAUAACUUAUUUGCGGCUGCCUAACACUAAGCAGGUGGCAGCCUGACUUUUUAUUAUGACAACAUCAGACAAAGCAG